rnacentral:snRNA from 1 species
GGGCAUGAGGUCAAUCUGGCUACGACAUUUGUCACCCCAUUGACUGCCAGGGUUGAUUCUGCUGAUCUGGCUGGCUAAGCGGGUGACCCCUUCGCCCCUCACCGCUCCAUGUGCAUCCCUCCAAGGCUGCGUGCACCGUUGAAGAGGACAACCUUCCCUGAUAGAGGAGGACCAUCCUUUGGUUGAGGAUAUACGAGGAGCUGCGCUCCCCUGCUGGAACCUCCAAACAAGCUCUCAAGAAGGAAGUCUGGAGUUAAAUGUGGCUUUGGGGAUGAUGACAGGGGACACGGUCUCUCCUAGAGUGUCGUGAGCCUGGUACCCCUU